UUCGUAAACUCACUACCAUUUGGUAACGGUUGCAAGUCCGUAAAAAGAGCGAGCACGAA
rnacentral:ribozyme from 2 species